rnacentral:rRNA from 1 species
UUGGAGGGCAAGUCUGGUGCCAGCAGCCGCGGUAAUUCCAGCUCCAAUAGCGUAUAUUAAAGUUGUUGCAGUUAAAAAGCUCGUAGUUGAAUUUCGGGAUCAAUUUAUUGGUCGUGCCAACGGUACGCACUGGUACAAUUGGUUUCUCCCUUCUGACGAAGCAUGAUGUCAUUAAUUUGAUGUCGUGGGGAAUCAGGACUGUUACUUUGAAAAAAUUAGAGUGUUUAAAGCAGGCUUUGGCUUGAAUACAUUAGCAUGGAGUAAUGAAAUAGGACGUUUGAUCUUAUUUCGUUGGUUUCUAAGAUCGACGUAAUGAUUAGUAGGGAUAGUUGGGGGCAUUAGUAUUCAAUUGUCAGAGGUGAAAUUCUUGGAUUUAUUGAAGACUAACUACUGCGAAAGCAUUUGCCAAGGAUGUUUUCAUUAAUCAAGAACGAAAGUUAGGGGAUCGAAGACGAUCAGAUACCGUCGUAGUCUUAACCAUAAACUAUGCCGACUAGGGAUCGGAUGAUGUUAAUUUUUUAAUGACUCAUUCGGCGCCUUACGGGAAAC